rfam:Planococcus rifietoensis strain M8, complete genome.
CCCGUGCUACAACCGCUCGAACCAGGUCUUAAAGCAUCGCGAGAUCACCUGGAUAGGCGAGUCUUAGUCUAAGA